rnacentral:rRNA from 1 species
GCCAGCCCGCUCAGAACUUAAAGGAAUUGACGGGGCCCGCACAAGCGGUGGAGUAUGUGGUUUAAUUCGAUGCAACGCGAAGAACCUUACCUGGUCUUGACAUCCCGGAGACCCUUAGGAAACUAGGGGGUGCUUCCAUCUGGAAGAAUCUGGAGACAGGUGCUGCAUGGCUGUCGUCAGCUCGUGUCGUGAGAUGUUGGGUUAAGUCCCGCAACGAGCGCAACCCUUGCCUUUAGUUGCCAGCAGUUCGGCUGGGCACUCUAAAGGGACUGCCGGUGUUAAACCGGAGGAAGGUGGGGAUGACGUCAAGUCCUCAUGGCCUUUAUGACCAGGGCUACACACGUACUACAAUGGCCGAUACAAAGGGCAGCGACACUGCGAGGUGAAGCCAAUCCCGUAAAAUCGGUCUCAGUCCGGAUUGGAGUCUGCAACUCGACUCCAUGAAGUUGGAAUCGCUAGUAAUCGCGCAUCAGCCAUGGCGCGGUGAAUACGUUCCCGGGCCUU